ensembl:lncRNA
AACUUGCCCCAGAACAAAACUCUGCUCUCCGUUCAAGGGCCUCUACCAGGGGGCUGCAAGCUGCUCUUCCCAUCUUACUCCAAAGGAGUCUCCUCCUGAAUGAAUUUACUGGAAGUUCCCCCCAAAACUUAGCAUCCCCAUACUCCCCCCUGCCCCGAAGCGCCAUUGCUGGAGGAGACUGUUAAGACCCCUCCUCAGCACCAAGCACAGAGAAGGCGCUUCCUAAUGAACCAAUGAAUGGACGAAAGAACAAACAAAGGAAAACUCACCCCGUGUUCCACUUCCUCAGCUCAAGAGACCACCAACCCCUUCAAAAGAGAGACCUCUCCUCUUAAUCACGGUUGUAGCCCAGGGGCAGCUCAGACAGUACACUGAGGCGCCAGGGAGAAGAGCUUCAAAAAUGGGAGGCACGUGUGUCAUCGACACUCAGUACAGCUGACUUGAUUCCUUCUGUUUUUUCCCUUCCUUUUCAAUAAUGAAAUAAACGCCAGUCCCAGCAAACGGCGAAUCUCUAGUCUUAACAGGCGCUCAGAUGUUACUAAUUUACUUUGCUGAUACCUAAUCCAAAGGGGGAUUUUAUUCCAGUGGUUUAGUCGUGCCUUCCAGUUAUUAUUCCGUUUGGAAAUGGCCCUUCACACAUAUGGGUGUAAAGCUCUACCAAAGGUAUUUGGAGCCUGUGUAUGUGUGUUUGACUUCAUUAUCUUAAGCCUGCAAAGUGGGAGAAUCCAUGUGGGUGACUGCUUUGUGGUGGUGUUCCAUUUCUAGGACGAUAUGAACCCUAGUGAGGGCUGGUGGGGAGGAUGAGGGGUGAAAUGUUGAAAUAUCAGAAUACAGGCUUAUGGCUUCCCAGAAAAGAUCUUGUUUGAGCCAAAAGUCUCUAAUUGCAGAGAGAAUAGCCCUAUUCAGAGUUUAACAGACAGCUCAUCUUCAGUACCAGAACCUAUAUUCGCCAGUGCCUGAAUGAGCAUGAUUUUUUGAGAAAAGAAAGCCAGAAAUCCGUCUUAGCCCAGCCCUGCGAUGUAGGGCACGCUCUAUACCGUAGGGAAACUGCAACAAAAACCUCAGUGACUUCAGAGACGAGCACUGAACCCCCAAGAGGGGCCAGGCCAGGAAGAGAGCAGCCUCUUCCAUCAUGACUUCCCAGGCUGCCUCCUGUCAAGUCAGUGUGACGAUCGUGCCGUCACAGUUUCCUGAGCCUCUGUAGGAGCUGAGAUAACCCACAGGGAGCGUAGAUAAAACUUGGUUUUAAAAAUAGUAUUUAAUUGCAUGACCCGGGCAUCAGGAAGGGUUUGUAGACAGAGGGGAGAAGGGAUCAGAGAAAAGAGGCAGACUUAUGGAGUGUGGACUGUCUAUCAGGUAGCAUGGCUCCCCAUGGAGACCCUUCUAAGCCAUCGGGAGACCUGACAAGGCCACUCCAGGUGUCCUCCCGUGCUGCCUUACCCAACGGCGCCCUCCCAGCCAGCUCUGUACUUACUUAGGCUCCUAUCUCUGGCUUUCCAGAGCUCAGUACACACCUGCCCUUGAUGGAGAUCAGGGAGUCAGACUUGUUAAUGGCAAACAGCAGGGAGUGGUGGAGACCCGAGGAGAGCCUUAAUGAGAAGCAGGCUCUGAGAGGCAGCAGGAACACAAGGAGGCUACCUAGCAAGAGCACAACCAGACCGCGGUCCCAGCCCCCUGUGGCCAGAAUGCGGCCAUGGGCUGCCAGACGACGUGUUGGUUCAGGCCUACCUCGACUGCGGAGGCCACCUGAGAAAGCCUACCUCUCCCUGUGUCUUUGUGUCUGUGGCUCUGCUCAGUAUCAUUGACUGAAGGGGACAUGGAGACCAUCUAGUCCAACAGCCUGGACAAGGAAACUGAGGCUUCCAGGGAUCAAGCCCCUACCUGCCACCUGACUCCUGAGAGGUCCAUCCAUUGAAGGGCACACAAGUAAACGCCAGAUUUGUCUCUCUUACUGAAGCAUGAGUCUUACCUGGAUCUAUGGAAGGUCAAGGGCCUUGUAUUUAACACCAAAUACAAAUUUCUUUGCUUGAAUAUUCUAGAAUAUAAUAACUGCCUGGCAUGUUGCCAUUUCAUUUUGAUGGUUCCAAUCUAAAUGCAACAUGUACUUGAAAAGCUGCAUUCUGAAACUAUGACUAAAAUGACACUAGAGAUCUUAUUUUUCCAAAUAAGCUGAUUCAGACAUUACAUUCUUGGUCAGUCCUCUGGACAAAAGGGAAAAACACAGGUGUUAGAUUCCAAAGUGGGUUAGUGGAGAGAGCUUUUUAGUAGAGGUUGCUGCCUCAGGAGAACAAACUAUGUCUUGCAUACCAAGCAUUUCUGGUGCAGGGAAUAAAUCCUUCACCUGUGUGUUCACUCUCCUUUGUACUCCCCAAAGAUUACUCAACUAAACACUAAAUUUGAUGAGGACUCCAUAUCAAGAGAUCAUCCUUUUUGCUUUUUUAUUGAUUUGUAGUCUUUUUAUAUCAACUCUGGCUCUCCAUCUCUGUUACACAUCAGGGUUAAAGAAAAGAUUCAGGUAGAAAAGAUUUAGACUUGAAAAGAAGCAUGAAUGUGUUGCAAGGAAUUGCCAUCACUGACUGGGAAUGCUCUGGGUGUAGCUGACUCUAUUCACAACACAACAAAAGUUGGCAAGAGGCCUAGGAGCAAAAAUGAAAACUAAACCAUGCAGAUGAAACCCUGCCAAGUAAUGGGAAAAGAUGGAACUGUCCCUAAGAAGAGAAGGGGGGGACUCAGAAGAAAAUGGCAAACUCCUGACAAUGCUGUAAAGGCCACAUGGUUGUAUUUCUUUUUAAAAUCAUUAACACUCAACAGGCAGAGUUUGCUUUACUUCAUGACGCUUCAAGGGUUCAGGCUGCAGUCUGCCCAGCACCCCUCUGUUCACAGGGCUGCUCCUGUCUCUUUCUACGAGGUUCUGAUAGGACCACCAACACCAAUUCAUCCCCGACUCCCUGGCGAAGGAGAGGGCACAUAACCCUGGCCAAUCUUGUUCUCCACGGCCCUGUGUAAGGUCAUUGGUUCAAAGGAUGGGCAUAUGACCCAAGUCAAUGAAAGAGUCUCCAAGACAUUGGGCCUGUAGAUGCCACAUCAUUGUUUCUGUUUCUGAGCUCCUAAGCUCAAAGGUGCAUAUGAGCUUACAGCUUCUGGGGGCUGUUCUGUGGUUGAAUGGAGAACAAAGCAAACAGAGGUAGGUGGAAGGGAAUGGGCAGGAAAUGGGAAAGAAUAGAAGGAGGGAAGAGAGAAACAGAGUGAAGCCAUGACGACACUGUUUGAAGGCCUGGAUCCACUUACGUCGGAGCCAGCACUUGCUCAGCUUGGCUUCCCCUCUAUAGAAGUCAAAAGAUGCUCUUUGGUGCUUAAGCUGAUUUGACGUAG